UGGGGAAUAUUGGACAAUGGGCGAAAGCCUGAUCCAGCCAUGCCGCGUGUGUGAAGAAGGUCUUCGGAUUGUAAAGCACUUUAAGUUGGGAGGAAGGGCAGUUACCUAAUACGUGAUUGUUUUGACGUUACCGACAGAAUAAGCACCGGCUAACUCUGUGCCAGCAGCCGCGGUAAUACAGAGGGUGCAAGCGUUAAUCGGAAUUACUGGGCGUAAAGCGCGUGUAGGCGGUUUGGUAAGUUGGAUGUGAAAUCCCCGGGCUCAGCCUGGGAACUGCAUUCAAAACUGACUGACUAGAGUAUGGUAGAGGGUGGUGGAAUUUCCUGUGUAGCGGUGAAAUGCGUAGAUAUAGGAAGGAACACCAGUGGCGAAGGCGACCACCUGGACUGAUACUGACACUGAGGUGCGAAAGCGUGGGGAGCAAACAGGAUUAGAUACCCAAGUAGUCCCUGAGCGGGCUGGCAAGGCGCAU
rnacentral:rRNA from 1 species